GGGGUCAUCAGUAAGGCACUCAAUCACCUUAAUAUCCUGUGACACCCCUUAUAAGGCUGCUGUUAUGUUCUGGUGGUUGUCAGGAAUAAAUGUACAACAUUGCGUCUCUACAAGGGCACAGCUGCCACAUUGGGCAGCUCUGACCAUGUCUAAGGCCAUCCGGUUUUGCAGAACCAACUUCCUGAUCUGAUUGACUUCAUCAGUUAACAAAAAGGAGAGCAACUCGGGUGUAAUUCAGGGCCCAAACUGUGUGCUCUGCAAGGGCUGUAACUUGCAUUUCUACAGUAGCGACACCUGCUCUAGGGAUAGUUAUCGCUUAGGGGUAGAGUCACUAGGGGGCUUGCUGAACUCGUAAAAACCAGGAACAUAGCACCUUCCAGUUAGGUGGAUGACUAGGCAAUGUGGGAAACACAGUGGCAGGCACAGAAAGCCACCCCCAGGUACAACGUCCAGUCCAAUUGGCUGGUAGAUAUGGCCAUCCUGUGUCCCCACAGACCCAUAAACUCCCUGGGGGCAUAAAGUCCAUGAAGGUCCAGCCUUGGUAAGGCAACUUAUUCCACCACACCCUUGGUUUCGCGGCAUGUGUUAUGUUUGCACAAACCUCAGCAAUAAUCCCUCAGUGACUUUACCCCAGUGCUCCCCUAUACAUCAUGGUACCUGCAAUGGGGGCACCACAUGUUUUCCCGUUAGCCAGCCCCAUCCAUCAUGGACACUAUAAGUCAGCCAGUGGCAGGCUUGCCAUGGGUUUUGGGACGUCCCCCUAUCCAAAGCCCACCAUUGCAUUGUCUAUUGAACACCAAGUCUCUAGCCAUGUCCAGUUCUGCACAGAAGCUGGAUGCACGUUCCAGGGCAAGCUGCCUGCAGCUGCUGCUGAAAGGGUGGUGCAGAUACAACAGUUGAAGACAUUGGUCACCUCAGUGUAGGUGUGGGCCCAGAACAUGAUGCUGUUGGAGCAUGCCACCUAUGGCUGGAAUGACAAAGCAAGCACAGGUACUAACAGGGGUAAAUCAUGUCCCUCAGGCAAAAUACAGGCCAACUUUUCACCUCUCGAUAACAGUGCAGCCACCAAGGGCAUUUGCCCUGGGUGAUGAUACCACACCUUAUCAGCUCCCUGUGGUCCUUUUGGGUGCUGUACCCAUGCCAAACACACAGGGGAGCUUAUGCUAAGCCACACAGACAGUACACAUGCCCUCUGGAGGAGAGUCUCUUCCCUGGCCGUUCCCCUAUGCAUGGUUAAUUGUGGAGGCCACACAUUAAAUACCCAAGGAGUAACAUGUAAGUUAUACUGCAGCCCCUCCCCCCAGGGGGCUAUGAUAGCCAACCAUCUGCAAUGAGGUGCUUGGAGGGUCCAUGGCUAACACCAGGUUUUUCUGUUCCCCUGCCUUUAGGGGUACUGGGGCAGGCAAUAACAGAUUACUGUUCAACCCUGUACCUGGUUGGAGAAGGUUGUUCUUCCUCUCAUAGAUCUGGCCACAUGGCCUGGCCCUACAUGGGUCGAUGACUAACUAGCUAAUUCUGUAACUUCUAGGUAAUUAACCACAAAGUUAAGCCUUGAUAAAUUGCCUAGCUACUAGUACAGAUUACCACAGGUGUCAUCUCCUUGGUGAUCACAGUCCAUAUUGCCUUGAGUUCAACUUAUUAGCUACUUUAUUUACACCUGGUUUUAAACCAUAUUGUGUCAGUACUAGGCUGGACUGUAGCAGCAAUCCAGGCAGCAGCAGUACUCUGGCUAUACCUACCUGUAUACUAUGCCUCAUUAGGAAUGGGAGGAUGCCCUUCCUUAUGGUAAAGGCUCAGGGUCUAGAGGUGCCUCAGACCCCAUGACUUUAUCUUGCAUUAGGACUAUAGGCUUCAAGACCUAUUGUAAUUUUACUCCUAAGAGACCAGUACUCAGUGUACUCUGCUGCUCUAAGUAGGUGCCCCACUUCGCUAAAGUGGAUGUCUGUGCCUUCCCUAUCCAGGGGGUUGUUUCCCAUGAAUGCCCAAUCUCACAAUUACUAACUGCUUCUCUAUCAAGGAAUACUGGGGCUCAGCUCCCUUCCACAGCUGGGAACAAAAGCCUAUUGGCAUACUCAGGUGCUCUAUGCACUGCUAUAGGCCCUAACUGAAACUCUGUUGUCACAGGCACAUCUAGUUUAAAUGGGCACCUCUGGUCCACUACCCGUAUGGCUUGUGCCUGCUAAAUAGCCCGCUAGGCUACCAGAAAGACUGUCUCAGGAGCAUCAUCCCAAUCCCAGGCAAGAAGAACAUUGCCACUUCUAAAUCUGCAGGAGAAUCAGAGGUUAACAUGACAUCAUUAAUAAAAUAAUGACACGUGGUGGGGCUAUGAAUAUAGCCCUGCAGCAACACUGUGAAAGUCCAUUGUCACCCUCCCAUGAAAGCAAACUGUUCCUGCCUCUCUGGAACAAUGUCGACUGAGAGGAAUGCAUUGGUCAAUUCCACCACAUAGUGGCAUUGUCUCAGUUCUGUUGUCAAGAAGUUCAUCAAAUCCAUGAUAGAAGGUACAGAUACAUGCAGAAGGAGUAUUACUUUAUUCAGUUUCCGAUAAUCCACUGUUAUCUGCCAAAUCCCAUCAGGCUUUCUGACUGGCCAUAAUGGAAAAUGGUAGGGGCUAUGGAUGCCACACACUAUUUGCACCUCCUCUAACUUCUUAAUAGUCUCAGUUACCUCUGUAUUCCCCCCUGGCAAACGGUACUGAUGAGUGGAAGUAACCUGUCAGGGUUGUGGCAGAACUUGGGGCUGGUGAUGUGUAUGUUCACCCAGUACUGGCUUUACUGCAUGGACUCAGAAUCUGGAUUCUCUGGCCGUGGUGUGCAAGCCCAGACCAUGCAAAAUGUCCACCCCCAGAAUAUAUUCAGGUAUAGGAGAAACAUACACAGUGUACAGGUGGGGAGCCAAGCGGCCAAUGCCAAGAUGCAGAGACACAGGCUUCACCUUCACCGACUGGCUCCCAUAACCGUCCAUAAAUGCAGCUUUGCCUAGAAAUUUAUCUGGGUUCCCAUAAACUAGACUGCAGUCUGCACCAGUAUCUAUCAGUGCUAGGACCCGCGGUACAUUAGUGGGGGACCAGUGGAUUGCCAGCUCCACAUAUAGCCUCUGGUUGUCUAGUUCCCCCUGCCAAGCUGGCGACCUCGGCCAGUUCCCUAAUCAAACAAGAAAGGCUCUGUAUCUCUGCCUGUCUGCAAAUAGUCCUUGAGUUGCAGCGUCUGGGAGGGAUUAGGUUGAACAACAUUGUUUUGCCCCCCACACCUUAGGCAUUUUCUGGAAUUGCUGCUCCCGGGACAAUUGCCUUCACAGAGUCAACAACAUUCCAUUGGGUUGCCCGUCAAUUUUCUCCCGAGCAACCCCAGCUGCAAGUAAAUCAAUCCACAUCUGCAUGCAGGUCACCUCCUGGAGCCCCUUUUUAUCUGGUGGGGUGGUUAACUGCGGAUGAGGCAUUUUCUCCCUCCUUACGGUGCGGAUUCUCCGGUCCUGCGAAUGGCCUUCUGCCUCCCUGAGGGCUGCCAGAGCAGUAGUCACUUCAUGUAUGCGGCACCCCACAUACUGGGUGAGAACAGCGGCUAGAAAGCCAUAAGGGUUCGGGGUGCUGAACUCAGCACAAGAUCCCUCAUGUGGGAGGUAAAGCGUUCAUCAUCUGGCCCCAUGGUAAUCAGACCAAACAUAGCCUGCCGCAUACCUAUCUCCAAGAGUAUCUGCACCAAAUUAGUAUGUGAUUGCCAUUUACUCACAGUUUGUAGUAUCUCUCUGGCAUCAUUGAAAACAGUCCAUAUGACUGUCAUUAGCCACUUGAUUAAUGUGUGGCCACCUUGCUCUUGUGCCAACCGUUGGCACAGCUGCAGCUGCUGACGAAGGGAGGGGUGAGUUGUGAUAGAAGUCAGCUUCUCCAUCUCAGAGGCGGAACAAAAAAUGCUAUCAGCUCCCUCAGACGCUGCCGGCACUAUUUACCUAAUUCCCACAACUCACUGGGGUUAUAAGCAUAAUAAGAGGCGUGUUCCACCACUGUGGACGGGGUCCCUGGGCUUUCCCCUAGGGUCCCAUCAGCUGCUUAUGUUCUACCUUCUGACGGAUCACAGGAGGAGCCUGCAGCGGAGGAGCCUCCUCCUCCUCAGCAUCAGACCUAAAGGGAGUGUCCUGCCUGAAGGACCGGCUCAAGGUCGCACUAACAGCUCUUGCUAACUCCUGUUCCAGGCUGUUUAUCUGGGCCUCCAAGUACCCUGCUUGCGCCUGGAGGUCUCUCACCCCCAGGUCCUGCUCAAAGCUGUGCACUUGGGCCCCCAGGCAUGCGGCUUGCUCCGGAAGGUCCCUUACCUGUGGCACUGAGCAUGUACUUCCUGCAGUGCAGUUAGAAAUGCCCAUCCGACUCUGCUUGCAAAGAAAAAGACUAUCUUGGUGGAAGAAAAACUCCAAAACAGUGCAGAGAGGGAGACACCCUUACAAAUGGAGAUUUGCUGGAUAGAAAUGUGGCCAAAGAGUUCAAUAAAAGGUUCCUUUAUUUAUAGGCACAGCUGCUUAAAGACUGUUACCGGAAAGGAAUCCUGAUCCAGACGCCAAGAGAGGGUUCUUGGACUCAUGCAAGAAAGACUUCAGAAUACGAGUUUUGAAUUUUUGAAUUGCUGUUAAAACUUUCAUCAUGAACACUGAAGUGAGUGAAAAGAGACUUUUGCAGUCAUUUUUUUGCUGGCUGCAGAUGACAGUGACACCCUGGGAGUUGAGAAAUGCUUGUAAGAUGGAAGGAGGCUGUGUCCCUGAAUGAUCACCUGGAAGAGAGCCACCUUAGCCAAUGAAACUCCUGCUAUGAAUGUUUGCUGAGCAAGAAAUAUACUUACUGCUUUAUAUGCCUUUGAAGCUAUAGGUUCAUAUUGUUACCACAAUUUAAAGUGCUAUAAUAAAAAGAGUUCAGGAAGCAGGCACAUGGAAGCAAUAAGAGCAACAAACAUUUACACAGUUCUCAGGUCCCUGGACCAUGAAGGGCCACAUCCAAGGAGCUACCCCAGGAGGCCUCUCAUUUGCAUUUGUCCCCGCUAAUGCAGGACAGAGAUCAUGGAAGUUGGGCCCGACUGGAUGAGAUUUGGGGGUCUUUGGAAGUGGAGAAUGUGUUUGCCCUGGGGAAGAGAGGUGAUGUCUAGGAGACCUCUUCACUCAGGGCAAGCUCUAUGACCUGCUUUGACUCCAGAAUGUGGUAGAAGUGGCAUCACAUAAAUUGCAGAGCCUAGGCUUCAAGAGACCUUGCAACUUGCCUCUCACUGACUUGAAGUGCUCCCAUCAGAGCAUCUUGUAAGGAGCAGGUGGAGCAUGUGGACAAGCCAUCCCCACCAGCCCCUGAGACAUGUGAGAGAGGCCAGAACAGGCCAUCCGGACCCCACUGUGCUGGUGGAUGAGACAGCAGAAGGAAUAUCAACCUACCAACAGAAUCCUGAGAAAUGCUCACUCUUACUUCAAGCUGCUGCAUUUUGAUGUUAUGAAACCAUAAAUAACUUAUGAAGUCAUCUUUGCUGACUUAAAGUUUUCCAUAACUUUAUUAUAACAUAUCAAAAUUAUGAAAAAUGUGAAAAGUAGAAAACUGAUGAAUUUUGCUUCUUCAUAUGGUCUUUAAGAAUCUCAAAGGCACUGAAGUUUUUUAUCUUUUCUGUCUUAGAAUAAAAAACCUUGAAUGAAAAUCUGCUUCUUGGAAAAGCAGCAAGGUUUAUGCAGAGGCAAUCUGGUAUUUGUGUGCACUGGCAGCUGAUCAUACCCAGCAUGCACGCACUCUCAGGGCAGAGUCUGAUGCCCCACAUAAUGGGGCAUGGUAAGGACUCCCAUGUCCUUGAGAUAAAAUGAUAAGGAAAAUACACACUGCUAUUAGAAUAACAGGCCCAGCUUCUGCACAUUUUAAUUCCCAAAGUUUUCAUGAAAGACAAUGAUUUUUUGGUACCAUGUUUAACUCUACAAGAAUCAGUAGUGAAAACUAAAAAUGAUACUUUGUGAAAGUUCAUUAAUUUUGUUUUCAGCCAGUGGUGGCCUUGGUCAGAUAGAAUCAAAUCUAUGAUACUUUUUAUCAGAAAUGCUUAUACUGUGUACAAACCCAAAGUGAUGGCUUUCAAAGAUUGAAUUUGAUUAUUUUCUGUAUGGUGCAGAUGAAAAAUUACUACACAGGAGAAGGUGGGUUGGAGGUGCUCACGAGUAACCAGGAAACAGUCUGAAGUUUUUCUGAUACUUCUCCUUGGUCCAACCAAAUGUGAGAUAUAAACACAAACUUGGGAUUCCGUUCUUAUGUUUUGGUUGUUUCAGUCUUUACAGAUGUAUCGAAAGGCUGUCCAAAAAUGUCUGACUUCUGUAGUGUGCCUUCGUAGCACUAGAGGGUUCUGCAGCUGUGAAACUGAAGGCAUUGGCAAGAAGCCCUCCAUCUUCAAACCACUUUCUGCUAAGGUGUGGCUCUAUAAAACCACUAUGAGCUGGGCUUCACUGAGACUGAGUUGUUUCAGUAGGAUCUUCCGGAAAAACAUGUUCCCUCCUUUACCUGGGUUGUCAUUCUGAGAACAAUCACACCUCCAAUUUUGGCUUACUAAGCAAUAGCGUUUUAAUGAUUUUAAGCCAGGAUUUGCUCCUCCUUUCCUCAGUAUGAGAGCUUAACCACUGGAGGAACCAAGAAUUCAUGCUGGUUGGGUUCUGAUUCCACUUUAACUUACUGUAUAGCCUCAUCCCUUGUUUUUCUGGAGAUUCUCUUUUUCUGCUUCACUGAUUUAUAUUUACAUUAAAAUCAAAUGAGGCCAUGUUUCUGAAAUCACAUUGUCCCUACAUGGUCAUUACAAUGAGUCUGUAAUGUGACUGAAAGACAGCCAUGGAUACAGGUAGAGGAUAUCAGGCAAUUGAAUGCUCAUCAAGCAUUCAAUUCAGGGCAAAUGGCAUAAGGUAUGCAGUUGGCCUCUUCUGAUAUCUGUGUCUUAAUCCUUUCUUUAGCCUCUGUUUUCUGGACCAAGGCUAAGAUAUUUUCUGGGCACAGUGGCUCAUGCCUAUAAUCCCAGCACUCUGGGAGGCCAAGGUGGGAGGAUUUCUUCAGCCC
rnacentral:lncRNA from 1 species